CAGCAAUUAGUUUAAAUAAAAUAUUAGUUUUGGGUAUUAAUGAUGAUUAUUUCAUUGCUGA
rnacentral:tRNA from 1 species